GACGAACGCUGGCGGCGUGCUUAACACAUGCAAGUCGAACGGAAAGGCCCUGCUUUUGUGGGGUGCUCGAGUGGCGAACGGGUGAGUAACACGUGAGUAACCUGCCCUUGACUUUGGGAUAACUUCAGGAAACUGGGGCUAAUACCGGAUAGGAGCUCCUGCUGCAUGGUGGGGGUUGGAAAGUUUCGGCGGUUGGGGAUGGACUCGCGGCUUAUCAGCUUGUUGGUGGGGUAGUGGCUUACCAAGGCUUUGACGGGUAGCCGGCCUGAGAGGGUGACCGGCCACAUUGGGACUGAGAUACGGCCCAGACUCCUACGGGAGGCAGCAGUGGGGAAUAUUGCACAAUGGGCGGAAGCCUGAUGCAGCAACGCCGCGUGCGGGAUGACGGCCUUCGGGUUGUAAACCGCUUUCGCCUGUGACGAAGCGUGAGUGACGGUAAUGGGUAAAGAAGCACCGGCUAACUACGUGCCAGCAGCCGCGGUGAUACGUAGGGUGCGAGCGUUGUCCGGAUUUAUUGGGCGUAAAGGGCUCGUAGGUGGUUGAUCGCGUCGGAAGUGUAAUCUUGGGGCUUAACCCUGAGCGUGCUUUCGAUACGGGUUGACUUGAGGAAGGUAGGGGAGAAUGGAAUUCCUGGUGGAGCGGUGGAAUGCGCAGAUAUCAGGAGGAACACCAGUGGCGAAGGCGGUUCUCUGGGCCUUUCCUGACGCUGAGGAGCGAAAGCGUGGGGAGCGAACAGGCUUAGAUACCCUGGUAGUCCACGCUGUAAACGGUGGGUACUAGGUGUGGGGUCCAUUCCACGGGUUCCGUGCCGUAGCUAACGCUUUAAGUACCCCGCCUGGGGAGUACGGCCGCAAGGCUAAAACUCAAAGGAAUUGACGGGGCCCCGCACAAGCGGCGGAGCAUGCGGAUUAAUUCGAUGCAACGCGUAGAACCUUACCUGGGUUUGACAUGGAUCGGGAGUGCUCAGAGAUGGGUGUGCCUCUUUUGGGGUCGGUUCACAGGUGGUGCAUGGCUGUCGUCAGCUCGUGUCGUGAAAUGUUGGGUUAAGUCCCGCAACGAGCGCAACCCUUGUUCACUGUUGCCAGCACGUUAUGGUGGGGACUCAGUGGAGACCGCCGGGGUCAACUCGGAGGAAGGUGGGGAUGACGUCAAGUCAUCAUGCCCCUUAUGUCCAGGGCUUCACGCACGCUACAAUGGCUGGUACAGAGAGUGGCGAGCCUGUGAGGGUGAGCGAAUCUCGGAAAGCCGGUCUCAGUUCGGAUUGGGGUCUGCAACUCGACCUCAUGAAGUCGGAGUCGCUAGUAAUCGCAGAUCAGCAACGCUGCGGUGAAUACGUUCCCGGG
rnacentral:rRNA from 1 species